UCAUCACUGGAACUGGUCUCAGGGCUGAAAUGUUCUCUUCUUUUCUGUUCAUUACUCAUCCUGAAAUUACCUCAACUGUCAACACAGUGGACCUCGGUGGGUCCCUGGGUUUGAGAAGCUCAAAUGUCCUUGUAGCAACUGUAGCUUAUUCAGUGGGAUCCUUGCUGUGUGCUCCUGGGGAACUGGACCUCCAACCCUACAAAGUCUAGAACCAUGUAGAGAGGAAACACAAAAUCUCCCAGUAGGUUAUGGGAGAGUCUGGGUGAAUUGGGCCACUCCUGCUUCAAAUCUUAGUUUCCCAGACUCAUGUGUUCUUUCUGUUGGGAACACAGCACCAUAAAAAGUAUCCAAAUUAAUGCAUGGCAUCCCAAAGGAUGGUGCCAUCCUUUCAGAGCAGAGCAUCCAAGCUGCUGCUUCAGCUGAGCCUCUAGAAGGCCAGUGCAGAGUUGCAUGAGGCUGGCUGCUACAAUACAGGUGGGUCCCAUUAGGAUGCCGCUGUGUGAGGAUUCAUGCCUCUGAAUGAAGCAACCUAAGCCCCAGACAAUGGUGUGGGCUGAGGCUCUGUAGGAAAGGCCAGCUGGUACCUGAAAUAGGCAUCCAUCUGUGUGAGAAAAAACUGCCAGCCUUUCCAGGAUAGAAAGGGCAUGGCAUCAACUCUGUUAUGGACAAUUUGGACAUCCAGAGGUGGCAGCUGCCAGACAGGCCCUGGUAAGGGAGUUCAUGCUCCUCCUGCCUCGGCCUCCCAAUGUGCUGGGAUUACAGACACGAGUCACUGCGCCUGGCAGCGUGAGACCCAGGGUGAAGGAGGUCUUCCAUAUGGAGUCUUUAUUUUUGUCACCAGGGUCACCCCUUUCAUGUUCCAGAGUGGCUGACAGUGAGGACUGGUGUCCACUGGUGAGUUAUUUUGUCUGCUUGGUUGUUCCGUGCCUCAUGUGUGCUGGAUGCCUUGGUGGGCACUGAUAUGUGCGAACACCUCCCCACUCUGUGCCCCUCCUUUGUGUUCACCACUGCCUCAGCCCAGACCUGGUCUGCAGGCUCCUUUUCCUUCUGGCCCCCCCAGAAGGUGGGGACACAAGGCCACUGCCCAGAAGUCUGGGCAUUCUCACCUCAGGCCACUUCUGCUUGCAGAUGGUGGGGUGACCGGGCAUGCCGCCUGCAGUUCUGCCCACUGGGAAGGUUUUCCUUCCCACCCUUGAAAGUGGCAGUAACACAGCUGCUGUGUGCCAUGCAGUGAGCCCAUCCAUCUGCAAAUCACACUCCUUCAGCCACACAGGAACCCUCUGCAGCUGUAGGCUUGAGCUGCAUUUUAUGUGUGCCAUGCACUGAACCCAUCCAUCUACAAAUCAAACUCCUUCAGCCACGCAGGAACCCUCUGCAGCCAUAGGCUUGAGCUGAGGGAGGCAUGUGGGCUAGACUGCCUGCUCCCUCAGCUCACUCUGGCACUCUGGCCCUGCAUGGACGCCGUCCUGGCCAUGCCAUUGCCACCUUCUGAUGGAUGCUGCUGGGCUGCCUGACUUCAUGCCUGGGGAGGCCUGACAGAGCUCAGCUCACACUGGGAAGUGUGGAUGCAGGGCCAUUUGGGGGUCCCAUGGACAAGUGUUCUAUUCUCUGCUGCAGGUGGUGCAGACUUGCUCUGGGAUCCUGGGGCCUGCGUGGCCAUCCUUGCACCUUUCAAAUGCUUGCAUCAUUGUCCCUUGCACAGACUCCCUUCUGCUGAGACAUUUUGUCAGGUCAUGAGGGAAAGCUUAGCAGUGAAGCCACCACCUUGUGCCAGGGACCGUCAGUGCCCCACCUCCUAACCAGAACAGCACCCUCUUCACCUGCAGACAGUGGGUGGGCCAAUCCCAAAUGUCCAUCUGAUCACCAGUUUUCUCAAGCUGCUUCUGGCCCAUUUGUGUUGGUCUGGGUCCUCCAAGAAGAAGACACCAAGAUUAAGGAUACAAACGUCGUGUUCAGAGAAAUGUCUGGGGUAGAAAAUAGUGAGGUAACCAGGAAGAUGGAGGGGCCAUCAGAUGGCUUCAAGCUUGACACCAAGUGGAGAGAAGUUUGGGUGGAAGUGUCUCAGGCAGCUCUGCGGUGAUGCCUUCCCACCGCAGCUGACAGUUGGAGAAUGACAUUGGUUUGUGCCAUUACUUGUGGUUUUGUCUUAGAUCAUUUGACCAGGGUGCUGUUUGCCUGGUUUGUCUCCUGUGAAGUUACCUUAUUCCCCUUUGUAAUUAAUAAUAAUUACAUUGCAUGGUGAUGUUUUGACACUGUGUAAACAUCCUGAGCCUCAUGCCCUGGAGACACCUGGCUUUCACAGGUAUUGGUGCUUCUUGCCUGAGUUACCACCAUGGUGGCUGCUGUGGCUGACUGAGGAUGCCACAGGUUCUUUGGCCUCCCUCCCUUUGAGAGCAGGAGCAAUAUCUUCAAUGUCUUCUUGAAUCUGGGCAGGCUCAGUCACUGCCUUGACCAAGAGAAUGAUGAUAAUUUGAGAAAAAAUUUCCAAAAGGACUGCAUAUAAACAUUAAACUUCAGGGUCCUGAAAGUCCAGGAGAUGGAGAGGCUGUUCUAGACUGAAGGAGACAAGAAACAGGACAAGUGGGUGCAACUUGUGACCCUCGGCCGAUUCCUGAUGCUCUGAGGGAUUGCUCCGCAGUAAGCAGGUCACACAAACCUACCCCCAAAGGCCAAGGGAGCUGAGAGGCUGAAAAAAGAGGCUGACAAAUGGAGUUUCUCCAAAAGAAACAUUUACUAGAAACUUAUGAACAAAGUAGUAUCUCGGGCAGCCACAAGACAGUGGAUCCCUGCACCUGCCCCCCAGAAAGCAUCCUUUAUAUAGCAAGCUUUUUGGUAAAAACAUGUGCAGCUGGUGAUGUCUUAGACUUUCUUGCAAAAUUCAUGACUGCUGGGGAAGUUAGGUAGCAUCUUUCUGAGGGGUUAUCAAUGCUACAGGCCUUGUGUGAAGACCUUGGUAUGCAGGAGUCUAACAUCGGCCACCACAGUGAUUUUGCUUCGAGAUGACACCACUCUUGCCAGGCAACAGGCUCCUUUCCUUCAGAGACAUUGCAGGGACACCUGGUGACCCUUGAAUGGGGGUCUCUGGGAAGGUGCACUAUUCAUGCAACCUUUUAUCUAAGCUUGAAAUUGUUUCAAGCUAAAUUAACUUACAAAUGUUGAUCAUAGUAAGGAAGGAGACCACCACUUCUCCUACUGCCCUCCUCUCCCCCUGUCUUGCCUAGUUUAUAAGACAGGAGAAAUGGGAGAAAACAAAAAGUGAGAAAGAAACAGAAGAUAAAUAGCCAGAUGACCUUGGUGCCAUCACCUGGCCCUGGUGUUAAUAAUAUCAACCCCUAACCUAAACUACUUGUGUUAUCUGUAAAUUCCAGACAUUGUAUAAGAAAGCAUUGUAAAACUUUCUGUUCUGUUAGCUGAUGCUUGUAGCCUCCAGUCAUGUUCUCCAUGCUUUCCCAGUCUAUCAUAAUAACCCUUUCACGUGGACCCUUUAGGGUUGUAAGCCCUUAAAAGGGCCAGUAAUUUCUUUUUCGAGGAGCUCAGCUCUUAAGACACAAGUCUGCCAAAGCUCCCAGCCAAAUAAAACCCCUUCCUUCUUUAACCCAGUGUCUGAGAAGUUUUGUCUGUGGCUCAUCCUGCUACAAUAAGAUGAGAGUUCUCCAGGCACUCCAGGCACUCUGGCCUUUGGGUGGGAACUGUCUCCAAAACUCACCCCCAGGUUCCUGGCUCUCCUCACUUCAGGAGGGGGUGGGUCUGCCACGUAACCACCGCCCAGACCUCACAAGUGAUAGCACUUCACCUUUUUGCUUCAGAUAUUUUAAAGAGAAAUAACACCUUACAGAUGCAGUCUCUUUCUAAACUUCCCAGAUCCAUUCCCUUUAAACAAUCCUCCCUCAGCAUGGUUUUUAGACUUGAUUUGUUUUGUCUUAGAAAUGGAGUCUUGCCAUGUUCCCCAGGCUGGUCUCAAAUUCCUGAACUGAAGUGGUCCUCACUCUGCCUCUCAAAUAGCUGGGACUAUAGGUUGCCCUCACCUCCUGCUGUGAGGUCAGUUCCUAACAGGCCACUGACCUGUAGCGGUCCACAGCCUGAGGGUUGGGGACCCCUGCUAUAGGUGC
rnacentral:lncRNA from 10 species